GAGGGGCUCGCGGCCUAUCAGCUAGUUGGCGGGGUAACGGCCCACCAAGGCUAUGACGGGUAGCUGGUCUGAGAGGACGACCAGCCACACGGGGACUGAGACACGGCCCCGACUCCUACGGGAGGCAGCAGUGGGGAAUUUUCCGCAAUGGGCGAAAGCCUGACGGAGUGACGCCGCGUGUGGGACGAAGGCCUUCGGGUCGUAAACCACUGUCAGUGGGAAAGAUGGGUGUCGGCGCGAUAACCGCCGGCAUCUGACGGUACCUGCAGAGGAAGCCCCGGCCAACUCUGUGCCAGCAGCCGCGGUAAGACAGAGGGGGCAAGCGUUGCUCGGAUUUACUGGGCGUAAAAGGCGCGUAGGCGGCCAGCACAAGUCGGUUGUGAAAUCUCCGGGCUUAACUCGGAAAGGUCAACCGAUACUGUGCGGCUAGAGUGCAGAAGGGGCAACUGGAAUUCUCGGUGUAGCGGUGAAAUGCGUAGAUAUCGAGAGG
rnacentral:rRNA from 1 species